rnacentral:rRNA from 1 species
UGCGUGCUUACACAUGCAAGUCGAACGCUGAAGCCUGGUGCUUGCACCGGGUGGAUGAGUGGCGAACGGGUGAGUAACACGUGAGUAACCUGCCCCUGACUUCGGGAUAAGCCCGGGAAACUGGGUCUAAUACCGGAUACGACUGCCGGACGCAUGUCUGGUGGUGGAAAGUUUUUUCGGUUGGGGAUGGGCUCGCGGCCUAUCAGUUUGUUGGUGAGGUAAUGGCUCACCAAGACGACGACGGGUAGCCGGCCUGAGAGGGCGACCGGCCACACUGGGACUGAGACACGGCCCAGACUCCUACGGGAGGCAGCAGUGGGGAAUAUUGCACAAUGGGGGAAACCCUGAUGCAGCGACGCAGCGUGCGGGAUGACGGCCUUCGGGUUGUAAACCGCUUUCAGCAGGGAAGAAGCGCAAGUGACGGUACCUGCAGAAGAAGUACCGGCUAACUACGUGCCAGCAGCCGCGGUAAUACGUAGGGUACGAGCGUUGUCCGGAAUUAUUGGGCGUAAAGAGCUCGUAGGUGGUUGGUCACGUCUGCUGUGGAAACGCAACGCUUAACGUUGCGCGUGCAGUGGGUACGGGCUGACUAGAGUGCAGUAGGGGAGUCUGGAAUUCCUGGUGUAGCGGUGAAAUGCGCAGAUAUCAGGAGGAACACCGGUGGCGAAGGCGGGACUCUGGGCUGUAACUGACACUGAGGAGCGAAAGCAUGGGGAGCGAACAGGAUUAGAUACCCUGGUAGUCCAUGCCGUAAACGUUGGGCACUAGGUGUGGGGGGCAUUCCACGUUCUCCGCGCCGU